GAACUUCGAUCAGUAGGAUACCGGUGACUUAGCAUAUCAUAAGCGGAGGAAAAGAACACAGGGAUUGCUCAGUAACGGCGAGUGAAGCGGCAACAGCUCAAAUUGAAAUCUGGCUCUUCAGGGUCCGAGUUGUAAUUGUAGAAGAUGCUUUGGGUGUGGCUCCGGUCUAAGUUCCUUGGACCAGGACGUCAUAGAGGGUGAGAAUCCCGUACGUGACUGGGUGCCUCGCUCGUGUAAAGCUCUUUCGACGAGUCGAGUUGUUUGGGAAUGCAGCUCAAAAUGGGUGGUAAAUUUCAUCUAAAGCUAAAUAUUGGCCAGAGACCGAUAGCGCACAAGUAGAGUGAUCGAAAGAUGAAAAGCACUUUGGAAAGAGAGUUAAACAGUACGUGAAAUUGUUGAAAGGGAAGCGCAUGCAACCAGACUUGCAGGCGGUUGAUCAUCCGAGCUUCUGCCCGGUGCACUCGAUCGUCUUCAGGCCAGCAUCGGUUUUGGUGGGCGGAUAAAGGCCUUGGGAAUGUAGCUUCUUUCGGGGAGUGUUAUAGCCCUCGGUGCAAUGCGCCCUACCGGGACCGAGGACCGCGCUUCGGCUAGGAUGCUGGCGUAAUGGUUGUAAGCGACCCGUCUUGAAACACGGACCAAGGAGUCUAACAUCUAUGCGAGUGUUUGGGUGUCAAACCCAUACGCGUAAUGAAAGUGAACGGAGGUGAGAACCCUUAAGGGUGCAUCAUCGACCGAUCCUGAUGUCUUCGGAUGGAUUUGAGUAAGAGCAUAGCUGUUGGGACCCGAAA
rnacentral:rRNA from 1 species